rnacentral:rRNA from 1 species
CUUACACAUGCAAGUCGCACGAGAACGCUUCAGCUUGCUGAAGCUAGUAAAGUGGCGUACGGGUGAGUAACGCGUGGGUAAUCUACCUUCAAAUUGAGGAUAACAUUGCGAAAGCGAUGCUAAUACCGAAUAAUAUCUCAAGAACUUCGGCUUUUGAGAUCAAAGGUGGCCUCUCCAUGGAAGCUACUGUUAGGAGAUGAGCCCGCGUACCAUUAGCUUGUUGGUAGGGUAAUGGCCUACCAAGGCAACGAUGGUUAGCUGGUCUGAGAGGAUGAUCAGCCACACUGGAACUGACACACGGUCCAGACUCCUACGGGAGGCAGCAGUGAGGAAUUUUGCGCAAUGGGGGAAACCCUGACGCAGCAACGCCGCGUGAGUGAUGAAGGCUUUCGGGUCGUAAAGCUCUGUCAAGUGGGAAGAACCUGCCCUGUGCUAAUAUCACCGGGCACUGACGGUACCACUGAAGGAAGCACCGGCCAACUCCGUGCCAGCAGCCGCGGUAACACGGGGGGUGCAAGCGUUAUUCGGAAUCACUGGGCGUAAAGAGCGCGUAGGCGGUCUCUUAAGUCAGAUGUGAAAGCCCGGGGCUCAACCCCGGAAGUGCAUUUGAAACUAAGGGACUUGAGUAUGGGAGAGGGAAGUGGAAUUCCUGGUGUAGCGGUGAAAUGCGUAGAUAUCAGGAGGAACACCGGUGGCGAUGGCGACUUCCUGGACCAAUACUGACGCUGAGGCGCGAAGGCGUGGGGAGCAAACAGGAUUAGAUACCCUGGUAGUCCACGCAGUAAACGUUGAACACUAGGUGUAGCGGGUAUUGACCCCUGCUGUGCCGCAGCUAACGCAUUAAGUGUUCCGCCUGGGGAGUACGGCCGCAAGGCUAAAACUCAAAGGAAUUGACGGGGGCCCGCACAAGCGGUGGAGCAUGUGGUUUAAUUCGACGCAACGCGAAGAACCUUACCUGGGUUUGACAUCCCGGGAAUUCUGCGAAAACACAGAAGUGCCCUUCGGGGAACCCGGUGACAGGUGCUUGCAUGGCUGUC